GUUCAAAUAGCCAUGUCCUUCUUUGUCUUUGCAGGUUUAUCCUCUCCCGGGUGGCCUGGUGCCUUCAGCCUCAUGUGGGGCCCAUUCCAAGGAGGCCUGGGAGGUAGCCAUGAAGCUUACGCCAUGAGGUCCUUGACCCAGUCUCCACACCAGGAAGGUUGCCUAGUGCCCAUGGGAUCCAUUUAUGAUGACUACAGCCCAAUAGACCUCAGUAGCAGUGAGGCAUAAGGCCUUUCACUGAGCCAACUGAUGCAAUUGAUGAAAACUCUGUCCUUUUCAAAAUGUCCCAGAAAGCCAAAAUAACUCAUAUUUCCCACACUACGUUAGAGCAGAUUUAUGCUCCUUUAAGAACACAUGUGGUGUAAAAAGAUGAAGAGAGAGAGAGAGGGCCUGAAGUUUUACAUAUGGUAGCAAGGUAAUCCUAGCCGAGUUGGCUUCUCUCUGGAGAGUGCCUGCAGAGUAUAAUUAGCACCGAGCUAGCCAUCUCAACAGAUCUAUACUUGAG
rnacentral:lncRNA from 1 species